UACGAGAAACAUUACUUCAAAACUCUAUAUCAAUUUCUAUUCAAAACAUAUUUUCAUAAGAUUCAUAAAUCACAUAUAAAUCAAUUAAUAAUUUAUUUGAUGUUAAAAAUAUUAUUGUAAAAAUAAAAUAUUUAGAGAGGAUGGAUCAUGACUUAUCUUAUGAGUGAGAUCAAUUGAUUAGUCCAAUUAACUCUAAGAACCUCUCUUAGAGUCCAUUACCAC
rnacentral:lncRNA from 1 species